AUUCUCAACUGAAUAUCAACAGGGCGCAGGGAAGUUUACGUUACGCAGUGUUUUGCUUUCUUCUACAAACUUUUCUCAAAACUGAAAAAGUACAACAUGGCUACUAAGAGUGGAAAAGCUACAUCGAAGUCCAAGUAUAACAAUUUGGAUGAGAUUGUUGCAGAAAUUGACUGGGAGAGAGAACUAGUGGAAUGGAUGAGUUGUCUGAGUGAGCAGUUUUGUUUCCAGGGUGCAAGAAAGAUUUUUGUAAGGAAAAUGUACUUUUAGAUCAUCUGACCCCUCUGCUGUCUCUGGCUCCAUACCCCCGCACGGCCAUUUAAAGUUGUGAAGACACCCAGCUCCACCAACACCCUUUGGACAACAAAGUGCCUAGAACAACAACACAACUGGAUUCAUGACCGACUGAGCCUGGUCACUUAGCUCAGUGGUUCUCUCCUUUUUUGGUUACUUUACCCCCUUUCACAUGACUAAUAUAGUACUACUAUAUACUCUCUCACAUGACUGUACCCUUGGGGAUUAAUAAAGUACU